rnacentral:rRNA from 1 species
AGAGUUUGAUCCUGGCUCAGAUUGAACGCUGGCGGCAUGCCUUACACAUGCAAGUCGAACGGCAGCACAGGUGCUUGCACCGGGUGGCGAGUGGCGAACGGGUGAGUAACACAUCGGAACGUGUCCUGGAGUGGGGGAUAGGCCGGCGAAAGCCGGGUUAAUACCGCAUACGAUCUGAGGAUGAAAGCGGGGGACCUUCGGGCCUCGCGCUCAAGGAGCGGCCGAUGGCGGAUUAGCUAGUUGGUGGGGUAAAGGCCCACCAAGGCGACGAUCCGUAGCUGGUCUGAGAGGACGACCAGCCACACUGGGACUGAGACACGGCCCAGACUCCUACGGGAGGCAGCAGUGGGGAAUUUUGGACAAUGGGGGCAACCCUGAUCCAGCAAUGCCGCGUGUGUGAAGAAGGCCUUCGGGUUGUAAAGCACUUUUGUCCGGAAAGAAAACUUCGUCCCUAAUAUGGAUGGAGGAUGACGGUACCGGAAGAAUAAGCACCGGCUAACUACGUGCCAGCAGCCGCGGUAAUACGUAGGGUGCGAGCGUUAAUCGGAAUUACUGGGCGUAAAGCGUGCGCAGGCGGUGAUGUAAGACCGAUGUGAAAUCCCCGGGCUUAACCUGGGAACUGCAUUGGUGACUGCAUCGCUGGAGUAUGGCAGAGGGGGGUGGAAUUCCACGUGUAGCAGUGAAAUGCGUAGAGAUGUGGAGGAACACCGAUGGCGAAGGCAGCCCCCUGGGCCAAUACUGACGCUCAUGCACGAAAGCGUGGGGAGCAAACAGGAUUAGAUACCCUAGUAGUCC